UACGUAGGGGGCAAGCGUUGUCCGGAAUCACUGGGCGUAAAGCGCGCGCAGGCGGUCAUCUACGUCUGGGGUGAAAGCCCGGAGCUCAACUCCGGGAUUGCCUUGGAUACGGGAUGACUUGAGGAUCGGAGAGGCAAGGGGAAUUCCACGUGUAGCGGUGAAAUGCGUAGAGAUGUGGAGGAACACCGAUGGCGAAGGCAGCCCCCUGGGUCAAGAUUGACGCUCAUGCACGAAAGCGUGGGGAGCAAACAGG
rnacentral:rRNA from 1 species